AUAACGUUCAGACCGUCGAUCUACCGAGCAAUUACACUCGUUCGAUGGAGGAUCUUCCCUUUGUCGU
rnacentral:pre_miRNA from 1 species